CAGACUCUGAACAAUAAUGGCUGUCAUUUGUUGAGCGCUUGCUAUGUAUGGGCUAGACUCUCCAUGUAAUAGAUCAUUUAAUUCUAAUAAUCCUAUGCAGUAGAUACUAUAAUUAUCUCUCCUUUCCAUAGUGGGAAACUAGAAUUUAGAAGAGUAGAGAACUUGAUUCAAGCCACUGAAGAGCCCGAUCCAAGAUUCCAUGCCAGCAGCUAAUACAGGAAGAUACACCCGCCAUGAGCUUUAGUCGCAGCUCUACAUAAAUAGGAGAAAUACUGACUGACCAACACCAAGGAGAAGCAUAAUAAAGUACUGGGAAUAUUCUGGAAACUUCCUGAAGAAACAGUAGAUGCAAUAAAGGAAGAAAAAGUCAACACUGCCUUUGUAUCCAAUGGCCCCUCGCUCUUAAAGUAAGAGAACCCUUAUGAUUUUACAGCAGUUUCAAUAAUAAAUGUAAUUGAUAAUUUAACAUAAUUAUCAAAUAAACAUGUUGAGACAGGAUUCCCCCAUCCACAGAGGCCUUAAGAAUCCUCAUGAUGAUGACUUUGGGAGCAUUAGGACUAUUUAUAAAAUAUUCUAGUCAGCCCAAACUACUUUUAUUACUUGUCCUCCCUGUACCUGUGAACUCCCAGGAGGCUUCUAUUUGUAUAUUUGUGAUUACCAAGGGAGAUCCCCAAUCUGGUGAGGAAAGAAAGACAGCAAGACUCUUCCCCUCUCUCUCAAGGCCUCCCAACUCAAUUGAUGGGACUGCUCUGUCAUAGUGAACUAGGAUCUAACAGCAGGUAUUCUCUUCCUCACCCCUUUCUAUGCCACAGGCUCCUCCAAAGAAGGAUGCCCUUCUAGAACAAUUGUCACACAAAAUGCAGAACUGGCACACCUCAGUUUCCAUCAAAAAGUCAGAAGCCUAAGAUCAUAUAAAAACAGCUUCAAGCCUACACAGUAAGCCAGCUCCCUAUGCAAUAUAAUUUAGAGCAAAUCAAAAGAUUCCAAGAUAUAUACCCCUCAACUACUUUCGUUCAGUCAGUCAACCAUUAUUUAUUGAGCACCUGCUGUGCAGGGGUUUUUAGAAGAUGGAAAUACAAUGGCCAUAGCGUUGCCAGAUUUAGCAAAUAAAAAUCUUGUAUUUGAUCUGGCAAUUCUAAAUGGCCAGCAAGAGACCAUGCCUGCCCACAAGGACCUUACAAUCUAGUGCCCUAUGCAUUCCCUAAGAAUUUUUAAAUCUAUUAGCACCUUAGCAAAAGUGGAUUUAUCCAAUUAGCCUCAAAGUGCAGAACUAAGUUUUGAAGGGAAGACUAAGGUCCAAGGCAAGGCAAGCAUCAGUAGAAUGUCACAGAGGAAGUAAAUAAUGACUGACCCAAGACAAUGCAAUGGCUCUGUGCCUCUAGUUGGUGGCAGGGGUUGGGGGUAGGGUUGCCAAGUAAAGGGAUCCAAAUGAAGAAAUUAUUGCUGAGAACUCAGCUUGCUUCACCUGCAUUCCAAAUUAGUGACAAGUUAGCCAAAAAUGUUGUCAAGGUUGGUAAACAUCUCAAUUAGACCUGAACAGAGCAUCUAGUGGGAUCUCAUGCCAGCUUAUGGUUUGGUGUGGAAACCAUACAAAAUGUGGUGGUUUUAUAGGGUUUGAACCUGAAAGCAAGCAAAAUGUGGUGGUUUGAGCUAUGUUUUUCUUGGAGUAUUUUAGGUACUCAGGCAUAAAAAUUCACAGUCAGGCUUGGGAGGUCCAAUCUAAAACAAUAAAAAGUUUUCACACUAUCCUUUCAGCAACCACAAGGAAUAGGCUUCCAAGAGAAGUUGUAGACUCUUGUUUGAAUAUCUUUUAAAUAUGGUUGAUAGAUGGACUAUUUAGGCCAUAUUUAUGUGACAAAAAUUGAUUCUGAUAUUGAGAGGGAAGAAAAAGGCUGUCUUUUCCUGGACCAAUAUUAUCUACAUAGGAAAAAGAAAGCAAGGGAUUAUUAUGCAUGUCAUUUUGUUAAUCAUAAAACUAGUAAAAGAUUAGUUCCAUUGGCAGAAAUAUCUUGCUGUGAGCAACUCCAUAGCAUGAGUCUAAAGUGAGAGAGAGAAGAGUAAAAUAAUCCAUUUUGUUUUACAUGUCAGUUAUUAAAGCUGCUUCAAAGCCUUCAUGGAAAGAUGUGGGGCACAUAUAAAUGGGAAGUGCCACAAAAGAGGUGGCAGAAAUGCAAAGAUCCAUUUGCACAGCAAACUUUACCACUUCCCUGACUAGUUAUCUACAGUUUCCUAAUCUUAGGAUCCCAUACUCUGUAUUGUCUUAUGCCAGUUGCAAAAUACAAAUUCCUGUUUCUCCAUUCCUUUCCUUUCUUUGACCUCCUUUGUCUGAGCCAGGAAAUGAAAUGCCUCAUGGGAACAUGUAAGUGCAGGGUUAGAGCUGUACUAGGUUUUGAGUAAUGUUGACUCUGUGAUGGCAGAGGAGUGCCCUGCCUGAGUGCAAGAAAAUAGACCACAUGACCUUUCCCAAGAUUUUCUUGCAGCUUCUGUGAGACUCAUUCAUUCGACCUGCAAUCAAAUUAAAAUAUUUACUUCGUUCUUUAGUUUGAAGAGCAUAGUAUUUCUUCAUCAUCAAUGGAAAUUCUAUUGUUCUCACAAUGAUAUGAAUUUAUUUUUAAAUUUUGUAUUGCUUCAUUUUAUUUUCAAGGGGGAGAGAGAAAAAUUAUAAAAUCAAUUAUGGUUUACAUGAACAGAACAGUAGGAAUCAUCAUUAUUAUCACAUAACUCAUAUAUUUAUUAAGUUGUUCCAGGAAAAUCUAGUUAAUUUAGACCUGAGCCUUUGAAACAUUUGGUAAUUCCAAGAUGGGGAAUUGACUGAACUUUUCCUUUGGUGGAAGUGAGAGAGUUAACAAAUCUAAUUAAGUGAGCUUUGCAGGGGGUGAUUAAUCUUAAGAAAACAAACUGCUUUCAAACACUCCAGUAAUAACUGUUUCUGACAAUUAAUCAAACGAUUACAAAGAAUCCUGGCCUACUCAUUAAAGCAGACCCAAGUUAUAAGGUCUUGGCUACAGAAUAUUGGUCCCUGGAUUAUGUAAAUAUUUCCUAAUAUAUUUUUUAAUGUUUAUUUAUGUAUUUUGAGAGAGAGAGAGAGAGA